GAUGAAGAACGUAGCGAAAUGCGAUACGUAAUGUGAAUUGCAGAAUUCAGUGAAUCAUCGAAUCUUUGAACCCAUAUUGCGCUCUCUGGUAUUCCGGAGAGCAUGCUUGUUUGAGUAUCAGUAAACACCUCAACUUCCAUAUCUUUUUUGAAAUGGGAGUUGGACUUGAGUGAUCCCAACGCUUUUCCUCACCGAAAAGUGGCGGGUUACUUGAAAUGCAGGUGCAGCUGGACUUUUCUCUGAGCUAUAAGCAUAUCUAUUUAGUCUGCCUAAAAAACAGAUUAUUACCUUUGCUGCAGCUAACAUAAAGGAGAUUAGUUCUUGUGCUGACUGAUGCAGGAUUCACAAAGACAGGCUUCGGCCGACUUUGUAAACUCGAUCUCAAAUCAAGUAAGACUACCCGCUGAACUUAAGCAUAUCAAUAAGCGGAGGA
rnacentral:misc_RNA from 1 species